AAGCAGCUUUCAGAGUCAUGUUUGUGUGUGAGGGCUCUCUAUUAUGGCCUCAUAUUUGAUUAAUUUGCAGCAUUCAUGUGUCUAAUUCUCUAUACACAAAGGGGAUGAACUAGUUUGGACUCCAUCGACAGGACAGUUCUGCCAGGAAAGUUCAAACAGAAGGCAAAUGGCUGCCGGUGGAGAUGGUUCCCAGCUUGCUGAGAAAAGCUUAGAAACACGGUCAAGAGUCCAGCUUAAAACAAAACCAAACGCUGCUAUUGCUGCCAGUGGCUUUGUUGAUGAUAUUUUAAAGCACGUAGGCAACCAGAAUGCUGUGUCCCUUGUCAACGCGUACAUACAUCUUCACAAGAAGGGGUGUCUGAGAGGACCACAGCUGCAGACAUUGCACACACACACACACACACACACAAAGAGGUUCCUGGCUUUCUUUUAGGUCCUCAGUCAACUUUUAUCAACUGGGGGGGGGGGGGGGCGGGGGGGGCGGGGAAGCAAGAGACAACAAACAUUGUCUGCAGCAUCAUUUGGGUUUUACACUUUAGCCCAUUUCAGGUAUUGUUUGUGAAAGUGUGAAAGUAUCAGAGAGCAGAAUAAGGUUCUCCUUUCUUAUUACUUACUAAACGCUUUCAAAUCUGCCUCUAAACACAACUUAUCAUCAUCCCUUCAGUUGCUCCCGACUACGGAGCCCUCCAGAAGCGAGCGACAGCAAGAGCAAAGUGGGCAGCAGCCUCCUUCCUGGUUCCCGUGGUCAUUUGAAAUGUAAAAGUUAAUAUUACUUUUUAAUCCAGAAAAAACAAAAAAACAAAAACAAAAAAAAGCCUAUCUAAUGUCCCUCCCACUCUUACAAAGUGUUUCAAAGAGCUUGAGUCUGCGGACAAAUUAUUUGCAGGAAGCAGAAGAGAACGGCUCAUCCUCCCAUCGUCCGAGUCGCCCUGCAUUCCAUGUGUGCUUUAAUAAAAGGCAGGAUUCUGCUCGUCCCAUGAUGUCACUCGUACUCUGUAUUUAAAAGUCCCCAAAGGCCAAGUUACACUUCCUUUUUCUGGAGCCAAAGGUGAAAUAAAUCUUUACAAUGUAGAGGAGGGGGGGAAAUGUGUAUGAGUUCUUCCAGAAUAUAUGAGGGAGUCUGCAAGGAAUCAGGUGAAGAACCAACAACUUGGUUUUCAGUUUUUCUGAUUUACUUCAAUGACCUUGGGGUUUCCCCUCCUGAUAGAACUAGGGGGGAGGGAGAGGGGGUGAGCCAAGGUGUGUUAUUCCAUGGGCUCUCACAUUUGAUUUUGUACUCUGGGAAGGUAAGAAAUGAUGGCACCAGGCACAUGAGCAUUUGCGACAAGAUACACACAGACUCAGCACUUGGGCUGUGAUCCCUGAAACCAAGCUGUCUGCGGCUCCGAGAAAGAGCAGCCAUCACUCACAGGGUUCUGGUGACAUGACAUUCUGCUUUCCUAAGAGCAAUGUGGUUACUAACCUGAAACUAUCAAUAGCCAGGUACAGAAAAGGAAAUCCAGGUACAGAUGAUCCGUUUGUCAUUUUUAGGGUACUCUAAAAAAUGGUGGUGGAGGGUGGGGGUGGCACGUGACUUGGGGUAAAAGUACGUCUCCAGCAUAUAGGGUGUGUAUGUGUGUGUGUGUGUGUGUGUGUGUGAGUCUGUGUGUGUGAGUGUGUGUGUGUAUGUGUGGAGUAUGUGUGUGUGAGUGUGUGAAAUAUGUGUGUGAGUGCAUGUGUGUGCAUGAGUGUGUCUGUGAAUGUAUGUGUGAAUGUGUGUGCAUGAGUGUGUAUAGAGUAUGUGUGUGUAUGUGUGAAGUAUGUGUGUGAGUGCGUGUGAGUGCAUGUGUAUGUGUGUGUGGAGUAUGUGUACGUGUGUGUGGAGUAUGUGCAUAAGUGUGUGAGUGCAUGUGUGGGAGUGUGUGCAUGAGUGUAUGUAUGUGAGUGUGUGUGCAUAAGUGUGUGUGAGAGGGUGAAUGCGUUUUAAUUGGGAAGCCAUGGGGGGUGGGGGGCAAGGUAAAGAUUAUGAGGAAAAAGUAAAACACUAAAGAGAGCCAGGGAGAGCGGUUUAACACAGCACUGUAUUAACACCUAAGUGAUAAAAUUGUAAAAGAACAAACCCAUAAGGACAGAAGGAAGCCACAGAGGCCACCAGCUCCAGUCUCAGGUAUGCCUGAGACAUGCAGUGACUUCUCUCAGGGCUCCUUGGAGCUGUCAGGUCAGCAGAUACAGAAGCCCCUCUCAGCACAGCUAGACAUGGACCAGGAGAUGAUGGGGAGAAUUGUUCGAUGUAAAAGAGUCAAGCAGCAACAUGAAUAAGCCUGAAUUUAUUAGAGGUCCGAGUCUGUGUGAGGCUGAAAUCAGCUACUUCCGAAGUAGGUAAAAUUCAACCAUACAGGCUUGGAGCCUAGUGAAGAAAUGGUAUACUUACACAGCAAGUUCAAGAACCUGGGCUCAACCUGCAGCACCACAAAUAACAAGCAAGCAAACGCACACGCAAGUAAACAAAUUGAGUGUAUCUUAGAUGUAAAGCCCUUCACUUUUAUAAAAUUAGUAUAAGCCCUCUGUGUUCUUAUAAAUCCACCUGUUUCUAGACAUGUCAAGACAAAAGAGGAUGUCAUAAAAAUUGCUAGUUCUCCCACAAUUCCCUGCAGCCUACUGACCUAGUCCUUUCUCUAAGCUUAAGCAUGAGCACAUGUGCGUGUGCACACACACACACACACACACACACACACACACACGCACACACACACACUCAUAAAGCAUGCCACUGUGUUUCGUGCCAGCAUGAGGGUGGUACAUAUGUACCUUUAAGUCUCUGCUCAUCCACUUAAUGCCAGUCUGGGCCCAAGUGCACAUAUAAGUCAGAGCUCCGACUGCUCACAGCCAAAGCCAACUCCAUUGAAGUUAACAGAAAUGACAUUUCCUUUAAGAACUUCUCAUAAAAACCUCCUGGCAAAUUAGACAGCAGCUGUCGUGAACACAAGACGACAGCCACAAGAGCCAGGGGUCCUGUCCUUGAGGGCAGAAGUGGGGCCAGGGCCAAGAGUUUUGUGCUUCUUCUCUAAGCACAGACAUUAGUGCGGUUAGGACGGACUGCAGACCUACACAGACCUACACAGACCUGCAACAGACUGCAGGCAACCUGGCUGCGGAGCUUCCUACACUUGAGAUGAACCCCUUCCCUCCCCUUCUCUUCUCUCCCCACCCCCUUACUUCCUCUUCUUGCAGGUGGCUUUUUAGAAGGCUCCUCUUACUAUUAUUAUUUUUUUUUUUUUUUUUUUUUUUUUGGUUUUUCGAGACAGUGUUUCUCUGUGUAGCCCUGGCUGUCCUGGAACUCACUCUGUAGACCAAGGCUGGCCUUGAACUCAGAAAUCUGCCUGCCUCUGCCUCUGCCUCUGCCUCUGCCUCUGCCUCUGCCUCUGCCUCUGCCUCUGCCUCUGCCUCUGCCUCUGCCUCUGCCUCUGCCUCUGCCUCCCAAGUGUUGGGAUUAAAGGCAUGUGGAGGUUCCUCUAAAAACACAGGGGCCACCACAGAAAUGGCAGCUACAGUCUGAAACCCACACUGUGAAACAAUUACACACUACUGUUUUUCAAAUAAAAGACGUGAUGGUAAACUUAUUCAUAUAAAAGACUGUAGAUAUUUUCUUUUUAAAAAAAUAUAAUAUUCCACGAAACAGUCUUUGAGUAAAGGGCACUGAACUAUUAAAUUCUACCCCAACCAAAUAUAUUCCAACUUUUAUUUCAAGUUCAAAAGAGGAGAAGGAUAGGCUAGAACUAUCUGGAUUCUUUCUAUAACUUCUAAAUUUUGACACAGUGUGUGUAAGGCAUAUUUCAAAGAUGUUGUAUCUGUUUAACACAAGUUCAGAGCAGAGGCCCAGCUCCUGGUAGGGGAGAGAAACUCUUCCUGUAUUUUUGAGAAGACCCAAAACUGAAGGACCUCUAAUUUCUAGUAAUUAUCCUGGUACCUUACAGCCCAUGAUUACAGAUAUAACCAUGCCCUGAGCUGCCCUCCAGUUUGUUCUAAACUCAGUGCUUGUAAUUAGUCUUGAUUAAUACUCCACAUUUCAUAUCAACAGAAACAGUGAAUCCAAAAGACCCUGUGUUUUCCUGCCUCAUGGAGUCCCGCUGCUGUACAUGUUCUGUGCCUUCAUCAAGGGAACCUGCUGAGCAAAUGGGAUCGGACAAAGCCUUGGCACCCACCUGGCCUAACUAUUCCCGGGGAAGCAGCAAGGCCUUUCCUGUAACCAUCUUAAUCCCUUAUAUCAACUAAUUAAUACACAGAGAAAGCUUUUACUUGUGUGUGAGCAAUUAUACCAAGUUCCUGGUCAGUGUCCAAAUGGAUUCACAAUAUAACUCAUGAACAAUGAGGCUUAGGGAAAGACAUCAUCUAAAGAUGACUUCUAAAAUGAAGAAGAGCUUGAGAAGCAGGCAUUAAAUGACUCUGUUAGUAGCAGGGUGCCGGGACAGAAAAUAAAUGCCAUUCUUUUUUUUUUUUUUUUUUAGUAAACUAAUUCUGAGGCCUUAUUUUGCACAUGUGUGACUACCUUAACCAGGCCAUUUACAUGAGCAAACUAGAACCAACAGAUAAAGGAGUUGUGACUCUCUCUUUAGAUAGCUGAAAUGGUUAAAGACUUGCAAGGGGCUGAAAAGCAAGAAAACGUCAUGUCCUCAAAUAACUGCCAACUACUAAACAUCUGAACAAACUCACUGCGCACAGACUCCUGAAAGCUACCCGAGACUCAAUGAGUUCACCUUGCUGCCUCGGCGCUAAGUACCUGCUCUCAAGGUCCUUGUGUUCUUUCCCUUUUAGAAUGUGUAACAGGAAGCAGUGAUUUGCGAAUCACGGCUGCCUGAGGACUAGCUGAAAACUGGAGCCAGCCUCAGAGGAUGGGGAGCAGAGGAGGGCUCAGAGCCUGAAGCAGAGUACAGCAUCCCCUGCUGCAGGUUCUGCCCUCCACCUCACCUCAGCCAGAGUGGCAGUCGUUCUAGUGUCAGGGCAGCUCGUCCUCCAGCAGAGCAGAGGGCACAGGAUCCUAGUGGCUCGGGCAGUCGAGAAAAGGCUCUCCCGAUAAAGCAUUAGAUUGUGGUAACAGGCCCUGGUGUGCACUGGGAACUCUUCCUGUGCAGACGUCUGGCUGUCUGGCUGGGUGGGAGGACUUUAUCCAAUAAAGGUCCAGCACCAAGUUCAUGGAAGCCAAGCUUUUAAGAAACAAAAUGCUUCCUCUAGUCACCACCCUGAUAGACUGUCAUCUACCACACAUUCACACUCAUGUAUUUGUGUGUGUGCGUGCUGUUUAGACUGUCAGAAUUACUGUACUGAGUCACCCUUAGGAAUCAGACACUGUCCUCCCAGCUAGAAGAAUCGCCCACCCCUGGAAUUUUCAGGAUCUUUUCCCACCUUUCCCAGUGUAUACCCACUGGCAGGAACCAAAGAGCUAUCACCCUGACAAGAGAAAACAAGCUGUGGGCCACUCUAAGGAAACAGGUUUUUCCUUCCCUCGUAGAGACAUUCUUUCUUGGUGAGCUCAUGUAAAACAGCAAAAUGCUCAGUGAACAUACUUGGUCCCAUUCCCUGCAGGUGACUGUGCCCUUCAGCUUGACCUGUGAUAUAGAAAGAGAGAAAAAAAACCACUCUCCAGUUUCUAAGUAAAAGGUGACCAUUUGGCAGCUAAGGUGAUGGAAGCUGGAAACAGUGAUGUGGAAGAACUUGUCAGACAGGUGUGGCCCGGGAGCUGGGAACACAAAGCAAAAUGUUUCUGGGGGCCAAUCUUGAGCCAAAUUAAUUUAAAAGGACAGGAUAGCGACUGUGUGAUGUUUGUGCUAUGUUGGUAUUGGGGGAAGAAAAAAAAAAAAAAAACUGUUCUUAUCUGGCAAGGGCGCCCCCUGCUGGCCGCCACUCUGAACUCCGCCUCUUGGUCUCUCUCCAGAGAAGGCAGAAUUGCUUGCACAGCACAGAGAAUCCGGCAGGGUUAGAUGGGCGAGUCCCUCGCAAAGCACACAAAAAGAGCAAAAGGUGCGGGUCACCGCCCCAACCACAAUCUACCUCCGUCACGGUUCUCUGCAGUCAGAUAAAUUACAAGGCGGCUGGAAAGAAUGACUACGCUGAUUACUGCUUUGCAGGUGCUUCGGCGGCAGUGCGACGUGAAAGCCUGCACCACUACUCUGCCUCCUAUAAAAAGUACCAAGCUUGGGCCCUCAGCUUGCUCUAAAACAGUCUCCAAGACAUCCUGGCACUGCCAUUAUCGACCAUUACGUUGAGCCUCUACCAACCACUCAACAGUGUGAGAGGGAACACAGCCUAGAGACUUGCAAAGGUGGGGCCAAGAAAAUAAACUCAGAAGGAAAUGAUACAAGUGGACAUGGACUUUGUUAUGUGAAUUAUGUUAUCCAACUGAAUGAAUGCUUGACCAGGAAAAGCAAGAUGGCUGAGUUAAAAUAAC